AUAGGAUUCUCUCUUUUGGAUGGUGUUAGAAUUUGAUUAGAUUUGUAGUUGAAUGCUAGUUAAAUUAGAAUUAAUAUUUAAAUCUAUUAGAGAUAAAGAUUAAGAUUUAAAUAUUAAUUAGAGUAAAAAUAUAAUUGGAUUAGGACAUGGAUAACUUUUAAUGUAAGCUAUAAAUAUCGUAUAGGUGCGAUUAUUUUGC
rnacentral:lncRNA from 1 species